AGAGUCCCCGACGCUUAUGGUUCCCCCGCAAGGGGGAUUAAAAGGGAAUCCGGUGCCGCGCCCCGCGCGCUCAACCCGGAGCUGCCCCCGCAACUGUAAUCGGCGAGUCCUGCGCCCUCUCUGCCACUGGAAUCUUUCCGGGAAGGCUGGCGCAAGGCGAUGACCCGUGAGCCAGGAGACCUGCCAUGCACAUCACCUUCAA
rnacentral:ncRNA from 2 species